GAUGAACGCUGGCGGCGUGCCUAAUACAUGCAAGUCGAGCGAACGGACGAGAAGCUUGCUUCUCUGAUGUUAGCGGCGGACGGGUGAGUAACACGUGGAUAACCUACCUAUAAGACUGGGAUAACUUCGGGAACCCGGAGCUAAUACCGGAUAAUAUUUUGAACCGCAUGGUUCAAAAGUGAAAGACGGUCUUGCUGUCACUUAUAGAUGGAUCCGCGCUGCAUUAGCUAGUUGGUAAGGUAACGGCUUACCAAGGCAACGAUGCAUAGCCGACCUGAGAGGGUGAUCAGCCACACUGGAACUGAGACACGGUCCAGACUCCUACGGGAGGCAGCAGUAGGGAAUCUUCCGCAAUGGGCGAAAGCCUGACGGAGCAACGCCGCGUGAGUGAUGAAGGUCUUCGGAUCGUAAAACUCUGUUAUUAGGGAAGAACAUAUGUGUAAGUAACUGUGCACAUCUUGACGGUACCUAAUCAGAAAGCCACGGCUAACUACGUG
rnacentral:rRNA from 1 species